GACACUGUUGAGAAUGGAGACUAUUUCCUUACCAACUAUACAUACAGAGAAGGUCACUUGAAGUCAAGGGUUGUUAACAACAACUACCGGGGAGUUGAUUCUCUGAGAUACGAUACAUUUCAGAUUCUUGGUGUGACCUCAAGACCUAAUGCUGUUAUUCUGAAUGGAAAAAACAUCCACAAUAACAUACAGUACCAGGAAAAUGGGAAACUCACCAUAAACAUUUUUGCACCACUUGGUGAAGAGUUGGAC